GGCGAGAUAGUUUAAUGAAAAUGCCUGCUUUACACGCAGGAGUUGGUUAGUACCUAUCGUCA
rnacentral:tRNA from 2 species